GGCUUCACCUCAAUCUCAUGCUUUCCGCUCUGAGCUCUCCUCGUGGAGGUGACUGCAGCCGGGCGUACUGGAUCUGGUGUGGUAAAUCGGGGCGCACGUAAUAUCGCUGGUACAGCGACGGCUGUGUCGCUGGGAGACAGGUCGCUCCGCUCAGCGUGCCGUGGGUGCGUCCGUGUUGGCGGGCAUAACUGCUGUGGUUGUUGGUGGGUCUCCUCCGCCUGCUUGCUGUCACGCUGCGCCACGGAUAAUCGGGUUCAGCAAGCCUCGGCGGCAGUCCAAUCCCUGGUUGUGGUUUCAUGAGUCCCCUUUUCGUUGGUGUGUUGUGUCACAGGUGUGGGAUUAUUUUUGGACCCCUUUUCUCUUUUGAUCUUCUGAUUUUUGCCUGCCGCCAUGUGAUUCCUUCUUUAGGUUCAGAAUCUUCAAGCUGACACUGUGGACCUCAGCAGAGCUUCAGAGCUGACUGGGUCAGAUGUUCUAUCAGCAGAACAUUGCUCCUGAUCAAACCACAUCCCUGAGGAGGAGCUGAAGGACACAACUGUGGAGGACAUCUGAGUCGUUUGAACACCAGCCAACACAGAAGGAUAAUAAAAUAACACUUCAGCAGAAAGUACUGCAGCAAGUAGAUUUAAUGGAGAAACUUCAGGCUAACAUCCCUUUAAAUAGAUAGAUAGAUGGAUGGAUGGAUGGAUGGAUGGAUGGAUGAUAGAUAGAUAGAUAGAUAGAUAGAUAGAUAGAUAGAUAGAUAGAUAGAUAGAUAGAGAGAUAGAUAGAGAGAUAGAUAGAUAGAUAGAUAGAUAGAUAGAUAGAUAGAUAGAUAGAUAGAUAGAUAGAUAGAUAGAUAGAUAGAUAGAUAGAUAGAGAGAUAGAUAGAUAGAUAGAUAGAUAGAUGUAGAGACAUAUAGAGACAGAGAGAAAUACAGAGAGAGAGAGAGAGAGAGAGAGAGAGAGAGAGAGUCAUCAGUCUAAAGGAUUCAUAUCAGAGCAGGUGGAGAUACAGCGGCUCUGAUAGAAGAUGUUAACUGGAGAAAAGAAAGCUUCUACAAGCAGAUAGAUAGAUGGAUAGAUAGAUAGACUAUCAAUAGAUAGAUAGAUAGAUAGACUAUAGAUAGAUAGAUAGACUAUGGAUAGAUUGAUAGAUAGACUAUAGAUAGAUAGAUUAUAGAUUAUAGAUAGAUAGACUAGAUAGAUUAUAGAUAGAUAGAUAGAUAGACUAUAAAUAGAUUAUAGAUAGAUAGACAGACAGACUAUGGAUAGAUAGAUAGAUAGAUAGAUAGAUUAUAGAUAGACUAUAGAUAGAUAGAUAGACAGAUAGAUUAUAGAUAGAUGACAAUAAAUCAAUAGAUUAUAGAUAGACUAUAGAUAGCUAGAUUAUAGAUAGAUAGAUAGAUAGAUAGAUAGAUAGAUAGAUAGAUAGAUAGACUAUAGAUACCUAGAUUAUAGAUAGACUAGAUGGAUAGAUAGACUAUAGAUAGAUACAUAGAUAGAUAGAUAGAUAGAUAGAUAAAUAGAUAGAAAGACUAUAGAUAGGUACUGAACAUCAGUGUUGUUUAUUGUCAAAAGUUUGUUUUACAACCAUUAAAUUUUCAGUAAAAGUCUUGAAUUUAAAAGUAUCCUCUGACCUUCUGUCACACUGCAAAUUUACUAUUUUCACCUAAGAGGAGCUAAAAAAGUCAACUGAAGCCACAAGGACCGAAAAGAACAAACUGGAGCUAUCUCUAGCUAACAGGAGCCUUUUUUAUUCUUUAUUUUUCCAGGUAGAUCAUUUGACAGUUUCUCAUUUCCAGUGAUGACCUGGCCAGAGGCCCCAACGGGUAGAAAGACAACAAAUAAACAAUACAUACUCAAAAAUGACGCAUAAGUGUUUAAACAGAGAUUAAUAAACAACCUAAAUUAAUGCUACAGGUCAGUGAAAACAGCACGUCAGUGGUCAGCUUCGGUCAGCUGCAGCUUCUGAUUAAAUACGGAAAGAGAUGGAAGAGACGACAGUUUCAGAGGUUUUUGGAGGGAAUUCCAAUCGAUUCCUGCAGCAAAUUGAAGGGAAUUCCGGCCAAAUACAGUGAGAACCUUGGGGAUAGACAGCGUUAUGAUCUCUGGACCUCAGGUGGUGGUUGUUAUGGAGGCUGUAGGAGGUUGGAGAGGUACUAAGGUCUUUCCUGAUAGGGUCUGGUAGAGGAGGAGAAGACAGUACUGGAGUCUCCUGGAGUAAAGGGAGGACCAACCCACCAGUUAGUAAAGGGAGGACCAACUACCAGUUGGUAAAGGAAGGACCAACCACCAGUUAGUAAAGGGAGGACCAACCACCAGUUAGUAAAGGGAGGACCAACCACCAGUUAGUAAAGGGAGGACCAACCCACCAGUUGGUAAAGGAAGGACCAACCACCAGUUAGUAAAGGGAGGACCAGCCCACCAGUUAGUAAAGGGAGGACCAGCCCACCAGUUAGUAAAGGAAGGACCAACCACCAGUUAGUAAAGGGAGGACCAGCCCACCAGUUAGUAAAGGGAGGACCAACCCACCAGUUAGUAAAGGAAGGACCAACCACCAGUUAGUAAAGGGAGGACCAGCCCACCAGCUAGUAAAGGGAGGACCAACCCACCAGUUAGUAAAGGUCACAAUGGAGGGUGGGGAAAGGCUGAGUGAUGGAGGACAUCCAGCCUGUUAGGGGCCACUUGGGGGCCAUUUUAUAGAUGACAUUGCUGUAGUCAAACAUGGGGAGGAUGGUCAUCUUCACAAGAGUGUUUUUGGCAGAGUUUGUAAAGGAGACCUUAUUAUGGUAAAGGAACCCCAGUCUGGAUUUGAUUUUAGCCUGUAGAAUGUUGAUGUGAGGAAUUAAAGAGAGUGAAGAGUCCAGCCAGAGGCCAAGGUACUUGUAGGAAUUGCCAAACUCCAGAUCUGAGCAACAGGUGAUCUUUGGGGGGCUGGGGACCCUGUUUGUCUGGUUAAACAGCAGACAUUUUGUUUUUUUGGAAUUGAGGCAAAGGUCCUGAAAAGACUCCUUGAUUGAAGUAGUGAGUUGAAGGGUAGAAGCAGCAGAGUGAAGUGAUGGAUCAGUGGAGCAAAUAACGGUGUCAUCAGGGUAGAGGUGUAUGCGGGAGGCACCAGUAGCUUUGGCCACAUCAUUUAUGGAGAUGGAAAACAAAAUUUGGCCCAAGAUGGAGCCAUGAGGUACACCCGUAGUGACGAUCAAAGGUCCUGAUAUCAAGUUCUCUGAUUUUACUCGCUGUAUACGAUUAUUAAGGUAGCUAGCAAACCAGCUAAUACAGCCUCAGGACAGGUCGAUGCAUCUGUAGCUAACAGGAGCACUCUGGAGCUAAGAUGAGCUAUCUGUAGCUAACAAGAGCUAACAGGAGCUAACAUGAUAGCAGCAUCAGUAACAUUAGCAUACUGCAGUAGUUCUAAUCUACAUUUUAUGUCCUUUCAAUGCGUUUUAAUCUGUAGUUUCUGAUUUGAUUCAAUUGUUUAAUUCAUUUUAUUUCCUGUCCAAUGUUUUUCCUUUAACUGGUUUUACUUUGGUUCCUGUGUUUUCUUUUAAUCCUGUUUUUAUCUCGUACUCCUUUAAUUCAUGUAUACUUGUAUUUAUAAUCUGCUUAAAUGUGAGGAAGAAGAGCUGGCUCACAGGGAAUAUUUUCCCCAUGAUGCCUUUUGAUGGAUCCAGAUACAUGAGCUCCCAGCUUCAGAAACGUUUACUCAUCCAAUCAACUGAGACAUGAUGCAACGUUUAUGCAGUCAUCUCAUUUAUUCUCAUUUGAUGAUGAUGAAGUCCCUUCCUCGACUGAUGAUAUGAUCUGAAUGUGUUCCACGUAGAAGAUAAACCUCAGUGUCCUCCUCACUGACUAACCCUAAAGAAUAUGAAGAAUAAAAUGAACAAAUGUCUUGUGCAGCCUUUCAACCUUAUUUUACGACUAUUACUGAUUGCUUACUGAUUGAUCACUGA